rnacentral:rRNA from 4 species
AAAAUGACUCUCGGCAACGGAUAUCCCGGCUCUCGCAUCGAUGAAGAACGUAGCGAAAUGCGAUACUUGGUGUGAAUUGCAGAAUCCCGUGAACCAUCGAGUCUUUGAACGCAAGUUGCGCCCGAAGCCAUUAGGCCUAGGGCACGUCUGCCUGGGUGUCACGC